AACGCGAAGAACCUUACCUGGCCUUGACAUACUAAGAACUUUCCAGAGAUGGAUUGGUGCCUUCGGGAACUUAGAUACAGGUGCUGCAUGGCUGUCGUCAGCUCGUGUCGUGAGAUGUUGGGUUAAGUCCCGCAACGAGCGCAACCCUUUUCCUUAUUUGCCAGCGGGUUAAGCCGGGAACUUUAAGGAUACUGCCAGUGACAAACUGGAGGAAGGCGGGGACGACGUCAAGUCAUCAUGGCCCUUACGGCCAGGGCUACACACGUGCUACAAUGGUCGGUACAAAGGGUUGCUACCUCGCGAGAGGAUGCUAAUCUCAAAAAGCCGAUCGUAGUCCGGAUCGCAGUCUGCAACUCGACUGCGUGAAGUCGGAAUCGCUAGUAAUCGCGGAUCAGAAUGCCGCGGUGAAUACGUUCCCGGGUCUUGUACACACCG
rnacentral:rRNA from 1 species